UACGUAGGGUGCGAGCGUUAAUCGGAAUUACUGGGCGUAAAGCGUGCGCAGGCGGUUCGUUAAGUCAGAUGUGAAAGCCCCGGGGCUCAACCUGGGAACUGCAUUUGAAACUGGCGGGCUUGAGUGUGGCAGAGGGGGUGGAAUUCCGCGUGUAGCAGUGAAAUGCGUAGAGAUGCGGAGGAACACCGAUGGCGAAGGCAGCCCCCUGGGCCAACCACUGACGCUCAGGCGCGAAAGCGUGGGGAGCAAACAGG
rnacentral:rRNA from 1 species